AUUUGAUGUUAUGGACAUCUUGUACACAGGUUCUUAAACCUCCCCCAUUAUUCAUAUAAGGACUCACCAUGUAGCUGUUUGAUAGCACAAAUUUAUUUCCUUAAACU